rnacentral:rRNA from 1 species
UACGGAGGGGGCUAGCGUUGUUCGGAAUUACUGGGCGUAAAGCGCGCGUAGGCGGACCUGCAAGUCGGGGGUGAAAGCCCGAGGCUCAACCUCGGAACUGCCUUCGAUACUGCGGGUCUCGAGUCCGGGAGAGGUGAGUGGAAUUCCUAGUGUAGAGGUGAAAUUCGUAGAUAUUAGGAAGAACACCAGUGGCGAAGGCGGCUCACUGGCCCGGAACUGACGCUGAGGUGCGAAAGCGUGGGGAGCAAACAGG